rnacentral:rRNA from 1 species
AUUGGACGCUGGCGGCAGGCCUAACACAUGCAAGUCGAGCGGAUGAAGAGAGCUUGCUCUCUGAUUCAGCGGCGGACGGGUGAGUAAUGCCUGGGAAUCUGCCUGGUAGUGGGGGACGACGUUUCGAAAGGAACGCUAAUACCGCAUACGUCCUACGGGAGAAAGUGGGGGAUCUUCGGACCUCACGCUAUCAGAUGAGCCUAGGUACGAUUAGCUAGUUGGUGAGGUAAAGGCUCACCAAGGCGACGAUCGUUAACUGGUCUGAGAGGAUGAUCAGUCACACUGGAACUGAGACACGGUCCAGACUCCUACGGGAGGCAGCAGUGGGGAAUAUUGGACAAUGGGCGAAAGCCUGAUCCAGCCAUGCCGCGUGUGUGAAGAAGGUCUUCGGAUUGUAAAGCACUUUAAGUUGGGAGGAAGGGCAGUAAGUUAAUACCUUGCUGUUUUGACGUUACCAACAGAGUAAGCACCGGCUAACUUCGUGCCAGCCGCCGCGGUAAUAC